GAGAAGUGGUCACACCUGGUCCCAUCUCGAACCCAGAAGUUAAGCACUUCAUCGGCGAGCAUAGCAACUCGUAUGAAUUGUGAAUCAAGCACGUUGCCGGUUAAA
rnacentral:rRNA from 1 species